CCCUUAGAUGUUCUGGGCCGCACGCGCGCUACACUGAUGCAUUCAACGAGCCAAUCCUUGACCGACAGGUCCGGGUAAUCUUUGAAUCUGCAUCGUGACGGGGAUAGAUUAUUGCAAUUAUUAAUCUUCAACGAGGAAUGCCUAGUAGGCGCAAGUCAUCAGCUUGCGUCGAUUACGUCCCUGCCCUUUGUACACACCGCCCGUCGCUCCUACCGAUUGGGUGUGCUGGUGAAAUGUUCGGAUCGGCCGUUUGUCGCGGUUUCCGCGUCAUGUGGCUGAGAAGUUCAUUAAACCCUCCCACCUAGAGGAAGGAGAAGUCGUAACA
rnacentral:rRNA from 1 species